AUAGCGUAUAUUAAAGUUGUUGCAGUUAAAAAGCUCGUAGUUGGAUUUCAAGGACCAUCAGUGGGAAACCAUUGAUAUCCUAUCAGUCUUUGACUGUUACUGUGAGAAAAUUAGAGUGUUUCAAGCAGGCUGUUGCCCGAAUACAUUAGCAUGGAAUAACGAAUGUGUCUAGAAUCUUGGUUAAUUCUAGAUUACGAUUAAUAGGGACAGUUGGGGGCAUUAGUAUUUAAUUGUCAGAGGUGAAAUUCUUGGAUUUGUUAAAGACUAACGUAUG
rnacentral:rRNA from 1 species